ACGCUGGCGGCGUGCUUAACACAUGCAAGUCGAACGCUGAAGCCUAGCUUGCUGGGUGGAUGAGUGGCGAACGGGUGAGUAACACGUGAGUAACCUGCCCCCUUCUUUGGGAUAACGCCCGGAAACGGGUGCUAAUACUGGAUAUUCACUGAUCUUCGCAUGGGGGUUGGUGGAAAGGUUUUUUCUGGUGGGGGAUGGGCUCGCGGCCUAUCAGCUUGUUGGUGGGGUGAUGGCCUACCAAGGCUUUGACGGGUAGCCGGCCUGAGAGGGUGACCGGUCACAUUGGGACUGAGAUACGGCCCAGACUCCUACGGGAGGCAGCAGUGGGGAAUAUUGCACAAUGGGCGAAAGCCUGAUGCAGCGACGCCGCGUGAGGGAUGGAGGCCUUCGGGUUGUAAACCUCUUUCGCUCAUGGUCAAGCCGCAACACUGGUUGUGGUGAGGGUAGUGGGUAAAGAAGCGCCGGCUAACUACGUGCCAGCAGCCGCGGUAAUACGUAGGGCGCGAGCGUUGUCCGGAAUUAUUGGGCGUAAAGGGCUUGUAGGCGGUUGGUCGCGUCUGCCGUGAAAUCCUCUGGCUUAACUGGGGGCGUGCGGUGGGUACGGGCUGACUUGAGUGCGGUAGGGGAGACUGGAACUCCUGGUGUAGCGGUGGAAUGCGCAGAUAUCAGAAAGAACACCGGUGGCGAAGGCGGGUCUCUGGGCCGUUACUGACGCUGAGGAGCGAAAGCGUGGGGAGCGAACAGGAUUAGAUACCCUGGUAGUCCACGCUGUAAACGUUGGGCACUAGGUGUGGGGGCCACCCGUGGUUUCUGCGCCGUAGCUAACGCUUUAAGUGCCCCGCCUGGGGAGUACGGCCGCAAGGCUAAAACUCAAAGGAAUUGACGGGGGCCCGCACAAGCGGCGGAG
rnacentral:rRNA from 1 species